rnacentral:rRNA from 1 species
GUCCACGCCCUAACGAUGUCAACUGGUUGUUGGGAAUUCACUUUCUCAGUAACGAAGCUAACGCGUGAAGUUGACCGCCUGGGAGUACGGCCGCAAGGUUGAACUCAAGGAAUUGACGGGACCCGCACAAGCGGUGGAUGAUGUGGUUUAAUUCGAUGCAACGCGAAAACCUUACCCACCUUUGACAUGUACGGAAUUCGCCAGAGAUGGCUUAGUGCUCGAAAAGAGAACCGUAACACAGGUGCUGCAUGGCUGUCGU